rnacentral:rRNA from 1 species
UGGGGAAUAUUGCACAAUGGGCGCAAGCCUGAUGCAGCCAUGCCGCGUGUGUGAAGAAGGCCUUCGGGUUGUAAAGCACUUUCAGCGGGGAGGAAGGCGUUAAGGUUAAUAACCUCGGCGAUUGACGUUACCCGCAGAAGAAGCACCGGCUAACCCCGUGCCAGCAGCCGCGGUAAUACGGAGGGUGCAAGCGUUAAUCGGAAUUACUGGGCGUAAAGCGCACGCAGGCGGUUUGUUAAGUCAGAUGUGAAAUCCCCGGGCUCAACCUGGGAACUGCAUCUGAUACGGGCAAGCAUGGGUCUCGUAGAGGGGGGUAGAAUUCCAGGUGUAGCGGUGAAAUGCGUAGAGGUCUGGAGGAAGACCGGUGGCGAAGGCGGCCCCCUGGACGAAGACUGACGCUCAGGUGCGAAAGCGUGGGGAGCAAACGGG